rnacentral:sRNA from 1 species
UGCUGGUCGUCAUGGUGUGGUAUUCCAUCUCCCGGGAAGACAGGUACAUCGAGCUUUUUUAUUUUCCCAUCCCGGAGAAGAAGGAGCCGUGCCUCCAGGGUGAGGCAGAGAGCAAGGCCUCUAAGCUCUUUGGCAACUACUCCCGGGAUCAGCCCAUCUUCCUGCGGCUUGAGGAUUAUUUCUGGGUCAAGACGCCAUCUGCUUACGAGCUGCCCUAUGGGACCAAGGGGAGUGAGGAUCUGCUCCUCCGGGUGCUAGCCAUCACCAGCUCCUCCAUCCCCAAGAACAUCCAGAGAUUGAACAAUGCCCCAGUGGCUGGCUAUGAGGGUGACGUGGGCUCCAAGACCACCAUGCGUCUCUUCUACCCUGAAUCUGCCCACUUCGACCCCAAAGUAGAAAACAACCCAGACACACUCCUCGUCCUGGUAGCUUUCAAGGCAAUGGACUUCCACUGGAUUGAGACCAUCCUGAGUGAUAAGAAGCGGGUGCGAAAGGGUUUCUGGAAACAGCCUCCCCUCAUCUGGGAUGUCAACCCUAAACAGAUUCGGAUUCUCAACCCCUUCUUCAUGGAGAUUGCGGCUGACAAACUGCUGAGCCUGCCAAUGCAACAGCCACGGAAGAUUAAGCAGGAUGUGGAAUUUGGUCAGAGCCAUUCAUGUCAGAGCUCAGCAGAAUGGCAGCUGAACCCUGGGAGAGCACUGCCUAUUCUGAGAAAGGCCUGCAAUUGUGUCUUCACGAUGCUUUUCCAAGACAGCCAAGGCAGGUAUAAUUUUCCUCAGCAAGGAAAA